rnacentral:hammerhead_ribozyme from 1 species
GUACUGAUGAAGAGUCUCAAACUAGGACGAAACAGUCAGAUGUCCAGUAC